GUGUUCUAUGAAAGGAGAGAAGGUUAGCACUCCUCUUGACAAGGAUGGGAAAGGCUCUCAGGUGUGGUUAAGGCAUUACCGCCUACUUCACAGCAACUAACCAUUGUUUUUA
rnacentral:ncRNA from 1 species